CCCUGAUCGACUCAGGUUCGCAGCGCUAUUUGGUUGAAUUCCCAACUGCGGCUGUCCUAUCGAUGAGGGUUCGCCAUGAGACGUCCCCUGUUUAUUUUUCAAUUGUUUUGUUUGUAAACGGAGACAGAAUGACACAUGAUUAAUAAUCGACUCACGUUAACACUAACCGAGAGACAUCGAUUGCAACUAUAUGAAUCGAAUCGCGACCGUGGGGAAGAUUGGGGCCAACGGCUCGCGAAAAUGUUUUAUCUCACCUGACAUUGAUGCCGAUGGAGCGAGCAACAGUGGGCACGCGAGAUCGAUAGAAGAUAAAAUACGAAGUAGAGAGAGUGAACGGGGGAGGGGGGGGGUGGAGAGAAAUCGAUUACCAAUUCGAAUCGCGACCGUUCAUCGCGACGACCCCAGGAUCCCUCCAGUUCCUCCUGCUCCUCCUCCUCCCGUUCGUUGGGGCGGUGCUGCUCGCUGUGCGGUUCGCACGCGGAACGUGGCACAGAGAGAGGUCCCACGCACGGGGAGGUGGCAUCAGAUUACCGGUGACGGAAUCGCAGCUCGUCCGCACUUCGACAUCAACGCCAUCACCGCCAUCAUCGUCAUCACUGUCACCUCCGCCGUCGUCGCCGGCACCGCUACCCCUGGGCAAUCACAAGGAUGAUGGCGCUCUGGGCCUGCACCGUUCAAGAGGUGGACUUGAACAUCGCCGGGGGCGAUCAAUCGAUCAGUCAAUCGGUGUCUCUCGCACAGGAUGAUGGCGCUCUGGGCACUAUGGUGGC